UAAGGGAUCAGAUCAGAGAGCCAAUAGAAAUCCAAGAAAAAGAACUUUUGAAGAAUUUUAGUUUUUCAGGAGGCAAAUCAAAACUCAAAGAAAACUGUUUGCCCCAACAAGCGCUGCACUCCGAAUCCACUAAAACAAAUAUUUAUUGUCAAAUCAGUCAGUGACAAAAGAAAACAGCCACUGACAGUCAACAUAUAUCAGGAUUGACUACAAAUUAUUGUAAUAACUAAUAAAGAUGAGUUAAAUAGGAUUUAAUUGACUCUCCUGUUACUAAACGUGAGUUUGACAAGAACUUUGACAAUAUUGCAUUUACUAAUUGUUUUUAAAUAUGUCUAUCUGAGUGACAAGGCUGCCACAGUUUCACCAGCAGAUGUCACUAGUGAGAAAUGAAUGAAGCAUCGAGUUAUGAACUUUUGGGCAAAGCAAUGGGCCGGGAAGCUUCAUUGCUUCAUGAGGCUUCAUUUGACCAUCACUACUCUUUAGACACUUUGUCUCAUGCAGAGCAACAACCAGCCUCUGAUGACAUCACUAGAGGCGACCAAUCAGAGGCCUUCAGGUCACAUGAUGGAGGUUUUUGUGUCCACACAAUGAAAGAUUCAUAUGGAGGAAACUAGAAAGAACAAGAGACUCUGCAGCUGCAGCAGGAAUGAGAAGCAAAGAAUCUGGUUCAGCCUGUCAGUGGCGACGGGAUUAAAACUUUCUGCAGUUUUUGCUGUCAGGAGUUUCCAGUUGGACAUGGAGGUGAGAACGAUUCAUCUCAGCAGCUUCACUGAAGCUCAAUGGGUUUUUCAGCUACAAUGCAGCUUGAUGCUGCUUUAGUUUUUCAUUCUGGUUUAAAGUUUUGCUUUUAAAACAUCUUCUGUUCUCUGAGGCCACCAGCUGGAAACAUGGAAGGAGAAAAAUCUGAACAUUGUGUGGAUUAAAUCCCUGGUUUUAUUCCAGAAUGUUACAUGGAAUAACAGGAACAGGAUUAAAUCAUGUUCUGGUGGAUGAAACUCAAAUGUGAAGGAAAUCAGAACAGGAGCAGCAGGAGUUCAUCCUGCAGUCGGUGGGUUGCUGGUUCGAUUCCCGCCCUCAUCGUUUGUGUCGCUCCACAGUCGCUCCGUUUCCAUCAACUAUAAAAACUGAUAAAUGUAACGGAAUAAACCCACUGAGGGGUUUGGAUGAAAGUUUUAGCGGUAGGAUGAGGAGGUUUGUCAGCCAAUCGAAACACUUUUUUCACAUCACGAGUCACGUGAUCAACAGCCGGAUGUUACUGCUGGGCGGAAACCAGGAAGACGGCAGGAAGUGUUUGGAGGAUGAUGGUUUGUUUUAGUUUUUUCUGGCUCCUCCAGAGCUUCACAGCAUCAGCAGAAAACAGACUGAGAUUUGCUGACAGUUGUCAUGGAAACCUACCAGAGUGAUGAAGAGUCCUCCAGGCCUUCAUCGCCGCAGCUUGUUCUGGCUGCUGCUGCAGCACCCAGACACCAGCGGCCCUCGGGGGCCCGGCGGUGGCAGCAUCAUGCCGCCGCCUCUCUGUGUUUC